GACGAACGCUGGCGGCGUGCUUAACACAUGCAAGUCGAACGAAGAGCGAUGGAAGCUUGCUUCUAUCAAUCUUAGUGGCGAACGGGUGAGUAACGCGUAAUCAACCUGCCCUUCAGAGGGGGACAACAGUUGGAAACGACUGCUAAUACCGCAUACGAUCUAACCUCGGCAUCGAGGAAAGAUGAAAGGUGGCCUCUAUUUAUAAGCUAUCACUGAAGGAGGGGAUUGCGUCUGAUUAGCUAGUUGGAGGGGUAACGGCCCACCAAGGCGAUGAUCAGUAGCCGGUCUGAGAGGAUGAACGGCCACAUUGGGACUGAGACACGGCCCAGACUCCUACGGGAGGCAGCAGUGGGGAAUUUUCCGCAAUGGACGAAAGUCUGACGGAGCA
rnacentral:rRNA from 1 species